AUCUAAGCCCAUGCCACCUUGAACAAGCCCGACCCCGUCUGAUCUCAGAAGCUAAGCAGGGUCGGGCCUGGUUAGUACUUGGAUGGGAGACCACCUAGGAAGACCAGAUGCUGUAGGUG
rnacentral:rRNA from 1 species